AUGGGAGGAUUGUACACUGGAGAGCAGGAAGGACGGAAGAGGGUGAAGGAAUGGGAAGGGAUCGAAAACCCCUCUAGGUGCUGGGGGGUAAUCCAGCCAUCCCCUCUGCGACACCCCUGGCUGAGUUACUUAAGGCCUUGAUUGGAUGCACAUUAGGAGCAGGAGAAUCAGCUUUAGACCUGUCCAGGGCUGGGAGGCCCAAAGAAGACCAGUUUCCCAGAGUGAGUGGCGAGUGGGAGCUUGCAGCCAGCCAGAGUGAGCCAGGGUCCCCACGAGCAUUACAGGAUCGAGACUCUGCACCCAAGGAAAUGGACUGUCAAGCUGUAUCU